rnacentral:lncRNA from 1 species
AUCUCGACGAGAGGAACACGAUGAUGGCCUUGCAUGCACAAGAUUCUCAAUGGUUAAGAAGUUAUCGACGAAUUACUAAACGGACGAAACUAAACUUUAACUGCAUGGCGGUUUUCCGGCGGUUUCUUGCUGCGGCGAACGGUGGUGACGAGCUUGGCGUCGUUACGGCAUGUGGUGGUUCCGGGGCGAGCUCAGGUGGUGCAAUCUCCACUUCUUCUUCUUCUUCUCUCUCUCUCUCUCAA